GACGAACGCUGGCGGCGUGCUUAACACAUGCAAGUCGAACGGAAAGGCCCUGCUUUCGUGGGGUGCUCGAGUGGCGAACGGGUGAGUAACACGGGAGUAACCUGCCCUUGACUUUGGGAUAACUUCAGGAAACUGGGGCUAAUACCGGAUAGGAGCUCCUGCUGCAUGGUGGGGGUUGGAAAGUUUCGGCGGUUGGGGAUGGACUCGCGGCUUAUCAGCUUGUUGGUGGGUUAGUGGCUUACCAAGGCUUUGACGGGUAGCCGGCCUGAGUGGGUGACCGGCCACAUUGGGACUGAGAUACGGCCCAGACUCCUACGGGAGGCAGCAGUGGGGAAUAUUGCACAAUGGGCGGAAGCCUGAUGCAGCAACGCCGCGUGCGGGAUGACGGCCUUCGGGUUGUAAACCGCUUUCGCCUGUGACGAAGCGUGAGUGACGGUAAUGGGUAAAGAAGCACCGGCUAACUACGUG
rnacentral:rRNA from 1 species